AGAAAACUCGAUUGGGAUGCAUUUAAGCAGGCACCACAGGAAGCUCAUUCUGGGACAAGCUCACAAACUGAGUUAUUUUCAUCUGUUUUGAGACAGAAAAAACAACACAUGACGCACAAGUCCAGUCAGAGGCAACCAACAUAACAUAAAUUGCAGAUGAUUGCAGUGUGAAAGACCUCCUCUGCCAUAAAGACACCGGCUGCUAACACUGGAAAUGUGAUGCAGAACAAGCUGUUCCACACACCUCAGAAUUAAGGAUGCUCAUCUUCUUACAGAUAGGACAGCACGUUAAAAUUACUGGCAACUCAGUGAAAACAUCAGGAAAACCUCCAGAAGUCUGGUGUUCUUCAGGUUCCCAAGAUACGGGAAUCCCGAGCAGUGGCAGGAGCGGAGAAGUGAAAAGCACCUCCUGAAAGACAGAGCCAUGAACAUUUAUUUCAGCAAGUCAUCUAUUCAAUGGUUUCAGCCCUCCUUCCUGGUUGUAAAUGAUCCAUGGAUUCCUUUUGAUUUUCAUUAAUUUGGUGGCUAUUCAAAUAAACUGAAUGAAUGGUUUAUGCAAAUGGGACUGUUGCUUUGAGAGAUUGCUCAUUAUUCAUGCUGUGUGAUUGAUUGUCUGAGUCUCAGGGUAUUGUUUCUACUCCAGGAGUGGAGAAGUCCUACAACCAAAAGGAGAUUUCAAGAUAGCCAAACACCAUAAAGGCUGUUCUUCACAUAAACAUCAGUUUUUACCAGCAUCUAAAAUAUUUCCCCUUUCUGCAAAAGAAAAAGUGAUACAUAAACAAAGCCAAGGCUUCUGACAUACAAAGCAAAGGGAAAAGGAUAAUUAAAAAAGCCUGCUACUUCUACCCUAUACAAAUUUUCACAAUUAUGUGGCACUCACCCAGGAAGAAUCUUUGAAAUUAUUUGACAGUCAUUUGCAAAUACAUAAAAAUAAUUUGUCAUGUAGGAAGUCUUCAGAGGAAAUUUCUUUAAGACUUGGUCAGUGGUUUUGCAGAGCUGAUAAGCUAAGCUACCUUAAAUUCAUGUUCUUUUGUAGGUAAUUUCCUUUAUAAACAAGUUGAUACUGGUAUUGUUCACCAGGUACUGACAGCUAGUCACUGACAGCAGCAUGCAUUGAAACCAGAAGCUCUUGAGAAAAAGUGGUCAGAGCAGCCAAGUAUAUCUUUUGUGAAGUCCAUUGCUUAAACUCAAGAUCUUGCAUAGGGGAUCUGAAUGCUAAAUGGAAGGUACUUCAGCCUGUUCUUCCUCAGUCUUCCCUCUUCUUAACCCUUACAAAGUUGCUACACUUGUGUAGGUCUUCUGUAAAAAAAGGAAAAUCAUCUAAACCCAUUUUAUCAAGCAGAUUAAUAGAAAAUGAAAGAAUAUGCAGGGGAAGGGAGUAUUCUGUACAUUAGUAUGCAUAGAGUUCUGGGUCAGACAGACCCUUAGCAUGACCUAUAAAGUAAUUCUUUUUGUUCACUCUGUGUUCUCUCUAUAAUGGUGAUUUAGGGUAUUUCUCUUUCACUUCCUUUACUUCUUUAAGUACCACACAUUAUUCCCCCCCACCCCUUUUUACAGGGCCUUUACAUUAUACUAUGGCCAGCAUGGCAGCACAGAAAACUCAAAGCAAAACAGCUCCCAGAAAUCUGGCGUUUCCCAAUCAUCACUUAGCCUUUUUUUCCCCCUCCAAGUAAUGGUCUCAUAGCAAGUGCUGGUAUAAUAUUCUUAUAGUCAAAUGCAUUGAAGGUCUUCUUAAAGACAUGUGGCUACUGCCCUUCAGCAGGAGGCUUGCCCUUCCUAUUACCCCUGUUCUGCCCCAUUUUUGAACUCUUCCUGCCCUUUCGUCACAAACCCAAAAAGUCACCUUGUCACACCCUUCUGCAGUCCCUCUCUGCAUCAGGUGGCCCUUACUAAUCUGUCUUGAAGCUUCCCCUGUUCUUUUUCCCUGUUUCAAAAUAAUUUUUCUGCCCUGCUGCCUUUAUAAGAAAAUGUAUUGAUUCGAAUAGAAAAUCCAUGUUGUUACUUCCUCCCUCUGACCCCUGUUUAUUGACGGUAUUUGGAGGGAUGGGAACUUUGUACAUCUGGAAAUCACCUACAGCUGAGGAGAGAUUCUCAGCAACAAAAUCUCCACAAUAAAAACAAGAGACCUUAGUAAUGUUUAGAGAAAACGUUCUGGUUUCUGUGAGCCAGCACUGCAUCUUCAACAGCUAUUUCACUCCUUCUCUAAAAGAAAAUCUUUACCAUCAUGUGUGAAAUGUGUUUCCUCUUACACAGUGAGUAACUUUAGUCUUUAAUCUAGAUCUCAAAAUGCUAUAUCUGUGGCAUCACAGCUCUUUACUUCACUUAAUGAUUGAACUUCCUGAUCCCAGAUAUUUAAUCUCUGUGUGUAAGCAUACCAAGCUGGCUUGGAAAAUGAGAAUUGCAAAUCACAUUCUCCGGUAGAGAAGUCAAAGUUUCCCAUUAUAGGAGCAACAUGAUUGUGUUAUCUAAAAGGACAGAUACCAAGCAACAUCUAAAGAUCUGACACCAAUUAAUAUUGCCCCCUAAUUUCUCAAAGGAAAAUAAGUGCACAUAAUUCUUCACACGUUUACCCAAAAAAGGUCAGAUCAUUACCUGGUAGUUUCUGGCACAACCCAGUUGAAGAGAUUAGGGCCAUGCUGAUUUAUACCAGCUAAGGAUUUUGCCCUCAUGUUUGCUAACAUUGCUGGGGUAUUGUUCUUCUGUCUGUUGACUUUUUCAUUAGUUAACUAAUAUGUGAUUUAUUUUGAUGAAUAGGACAGGUGCCUUCAAUUUGCUCUUGUAAUUAAGGUACAUGAUCAGCCACUUGUUAUUCAAAAGCAUGAUGAAAUGUUAAGGUCUGUUUAAAGAAAAAAAAUGUACUUUGCCUCUAGAGCAGCAUGUGGAAGCCUUCAAAAAGCUGUAGAAAUUUAGAGAAAACAAUUUUGAAGUCCUUAUGAGCUAAGUACUUUGCACAGAUACAUUACAGAGCUCUUUUCCACUUCUCAACGAGAACAGCGACUCUGUAAUAGAAAUAAAAGCAUAAAAGCAUUAAAGUUUAGGUGGCCAUGGAGCACACAUGCACUGCACAAAUAUUCCCAAUAUUAAUUGCAAUGUAUUGACUGUAAAAAUAUUAACCCUAUUCUAAGGUAGGUAGAGAGUAGAACACUGAAUUGAGUUACACAAAUGAUUUCUUUCUUUUACUGGUAUAUUGCAUUUAAACAUUCCCAGUGAAUCCCAACCUGCAUGAAUAACUGAAAUCCUCACACAUCAGAGACUGGUUUUGGGGCAUUUCCACCUAGGUCUCUAGCAGGAGAGAUUACCUCAUGAGGGAGCCUGUUCCUAAGUAAACUGCAGGUAGGUAAGAUAUUC
rnacentral:lncRNA from 13 species